rnacentral:rRNA from 1 species
CGGCCCAACAAGCCUGUAAUCGGUACGGGUUGUGGGAGCAAGAGCCCGGAGAUGGAUUCUGAGACAUGAAUCCAGGCCCUACGGGGCGCAGCAGGCGCGAAAACUUUACAAUGCGGGAAACCGUGAUAAGGGAACCCCGAGUGCCCGUAGAAUCGGGCUGUUGAUCUGUGUAAAAAGCAGGUAAAGAAAGGGCCGGGCAAGACCGGUGCCAGCCGCCGCGGUAAUACCGGCGGCUCGAGUGGUGGCCACUAUUACUGGGCUUAAAGCGUUCGUAGCUGGGUUGUUAAGUCUCUUGGGAAAUCCACCGGCUCAACCGAUGGGCGACCAGGGGAAACUGGCAUUCUAGGGACCGGGAGAGGUGAGAGGUACUCCAGGGGUAGGAGUGAAAUCCUGUAAUCCUUGGGGGACCACCGAUGGCGAAGGCAUCUCACCAGAACGGCUCCGACAGUGAGGAACGAAAGCUGGGGGAGCAAACCGGAUUAGAUACCCGGGUAGUCCCAGCUGUAAACGAUGCGCGUUAGGUGUAUCGGUGACCACGAGUUACCGAGGUGCCGAAGGGAAACCGUGAAACGCGCCG